CCAGCCUUUGUCAUCGCAGCCCUAGGGAGAACUGUGCACACUGGCUCUUGCUAAUCCUGGAAAUAAUGAUUUUUUAUUCAAUGAUCUUACUUAAGAGAAAGCAAAUUUUCCACAGAGCAUUUUGAGUGGGGUUUAGUUUAGUUCAGUUCAGCAAACAUGGAUUGAGCUCCAUUAUCUGCUGGGAUCUGAGCCGGGAUCUGGCAGUAAUAGUAUAAGAAUAGAUAAAGAUAAUAAUGAGUUAGCACUUUCAACUUGCUGGACAAGACCAAGAACAUUGAAUGUGCUUCCUCAUUUGAUCCUUACAACAACCCUGGAAGAGACAUCCUAUUAACAUCUGGGGAGACUGAAGAUUACAGCCACUAAGUGCUACCCAUGUUUAUAUAUCUCAUAAAAAAGAGGGACCAGGAUUCUAUUCCAGAUCUGAUUUCUUAGCAUUGUAUGUAGUCCUUGUGGCAGAUCACUCCUUGUUCACCAAAAUCCAUUUUUAUAUCUUCCUAAGCACAUAACAAAACUACAUUUCCCAGCAUUUUUUUUUUUUUUGCAACUACAUAUAGUGAUAUGUGCUUUCUUAUGGGUGGAUUAUAAGUAGAAAUGGGCUGUUCCACUAACCUCGAGGCUUUAAGGAAGAUAUAUGCCUCCUCCAGGAAUUUUUUCUGAGUCUAUAUGUUGAAUACCAAUGCAAAAGAGUACUAGGGGAUAGUAGAUGACAAUAUGAAAGGAACCUGGGCCCUUGAAUCACUUCGUGAUGGAAAAACACAUAUCAACCAGGAAUACUCACUUUGGACUGUUAUAUAAACAAGAAAAAAAAUGUUACUCUAAUCAAUACACUGCCCAAUGUAAAUUUAAAUAAAUCAUAGCUUCUAUCUUUUAGUCAAAGCUAGUGAUCAGAUGUUUUUAUCUUUUGUAUAUUUUGACAACCAACAUCUAUUUUUUGGUUUUGUUCUCUUGGUUUUGUCUUGUUUUUACCUCAGAAAUGGGAAAUGAGAUGCUUUCUCCCAUCAAAGCCUUCAGUACCUGGAAGGUAAAUUCAACAAAUUUUAUAAA
rnacentral:lncRNA from 1 species